rnacentral:rRNA from 1 species
AAUGAACGCUGGCGGCGUGCUUUACACAUGCAAGUCGAGCGAGGCGUGUAGCAAUACACAGUCGAGCGGCGAACGGGUGAGUAACACGUGGAUUAUCUGCCCUGAGGUGGGGGAUAACCCGGGGAAACUCGGGCUAAUACCGCAUAUGACCGUGAGGUCAAAGGGGGGUCGCAAGACCUCUCGCCUUUGGAGGAGUCCGCGUCCGAUUAGCUAGUUGGUAGGGUAAUGGCCACCAAGGCGACGAUCGGUAGCCGGCCUGAGAGGGUGAUCGGCCACACUGGAACUGAGACACGGUCCAGACUCCUACGGGAGGCAGCAGUGGGGAAUUUUGGGCAAUGGGCGAAAGCCUGACCCAGCAACGCCGCGUGAGGGAGGAAAUCCUUCGGGAUGUAAACCUCACAAGCAAGGGAAGAGCGCAUGAAGGAGAA